AGGAUGAACGCUGGCGGCGUGCCUAAUACAUGCAAGUCGAGCGGUAAGGCCCCUUCGGGGGUACACGAGCGGCGGACGGCUGAGUAACACGUAGGAACGUACCCCAAAGUGAGGGAUAAGCACCGGAAACGGUGUCUAAUACCGCAUGUGCUCUUCGGAGUAAAGCUUCGGCGCUUUGGGAACGGCCUGCGCAUGAUUAGCUUGUUGGUGAGGUAAAAGCUCACCAAGGCGACGAUCAUUAGCUGGUCUGAGAGGAUGAUCAGCCAGACUGGGACUGAGAACGGCCCAGACUCCUACGGGAGGCAGCAGUAGGGAAUUUUCCACAAU
rnacentral:rRNA from 1 species